GUGGCUCCACGGUAGAGCAUCUGCUUGGCAUGCAGGAGGUCCCAGGUUCAAUCCCAGCAUCUCCA
rnacentral:tRNA from 1 species